rnacentral:lncRNA from 1 species
UGGGAUUAAUGCAAGGAGAGAGGAAAAUUUUGACUUUUUCAAAAUUAAACAAAUAACUAAUAUUCUAUUAAGGAAUAAAACUCCUCCUCUCUCAACUUGUGUGAAAGCAAACAGAAAGAAAAAAAAGUUCUUUUUUCUCCUUCCAAAACACGCGCUUUAAAGUUCCUUUUUCUCCUUCCAAAACACGGCUUUAUGCCACCAUCUCCUUCUUUUUCAUAAAAAAAAUUUAAAACAAAAAUAUAAAUAGCAACAAAGUAAUACAUGAACAAAUACUAUCCAAACAUGAAAUCAAGAAAGUUAAAACAAAAUACAAACCAAACGGCGGCGGGAAGUAUUGCGGCGGUGAUGCGGAGCGGUAGCAACUAGUUUUCCGACAGAGGACGUUGGAGUUUCACGGUGGUUUUAUGUGAGGAAUAAGAUGGCGGUCGGAGGUGAUAGGUGUUGCUGGAGGGUGGUUUCAAUGUUUGUUAAAGUGUGAGUUUAAGAGUUUUUAGAGAAGGAGUUUCAUGAUGCUGUUGUUUUAUGUUUAUGGUGUUAUGGUCAAGGUUAUGAGUUAUGUGAAGAUGAAGAUGAUUUUAUGGUGAAGUUUAAGGAUGGAAGUUCGUUGUAGCUUUUUUUAGGUAAGUGGUUUGAAGUUUAUGUUUUGUAGAGAUGAGGGAAAAAGAGAAUGGAGAAGAUGAUGUGAGUAUUUGUUUUGAUGUGGAUAGAGAGAAGAUAAGAAAGAGUGAAAAGUAUAGUAUAUAGAAAGAAAUAAACUGGAAUAUUGAGAGAGAGAAACCCAGUUGAGAGGAAAAUAUCACAAGUUUUUAUUUAUUUCUUUUUCAAUCCAACACUCCUCCAUUCCUCAUGCGUCAUGUGGUCAGUGAUUUGUGGCCUCAAAUUUUCCACAUUUCCCCAUCUAUUGUUGACCACGUAUCCCUCUUCUAUUAAUUCUCUUAAAAACUCGUUUCUUAAAAAAAACAAAAAUAUUUGAAAUCAAAAGUUUUUUUAAAAAAUAAAAU